rnacentral:SRP_RNA from 9 species
GGGCAGGCACAGCGUGAGGCUGGCUUCACAGAGCAGCGACAACUGCCC